AAUUUAGAUAUUAUAAAGGGCAAGCCAGUACAUAUCACAAAAUAUCAGUAUAACUCACUGUUUCACAAAAGGGGAAGACGUAACAGUCAUCAAUUUAGGAAAACAAUUGAUAUAGAGAUUUUAUGAUAAGCUUUCUGUUUAAGACACGUCCUUUUAUGUAAGGUGAUUUUUUUGGUGAAAAUGUAUCAAAAUGCUUUACAUGUCUGUGUCUUCAGACACAGAAAGUAGCUGAAAGAGCUUGUAAAAAGUGAAUUAAAUGUUAGCCAGGCGCGGCGGCUCAUGCCUGUAAUCCCAGCACUUUGGGAAGCCAAGGAAGGCAUAUCACUUGAGUAGGAGUGCAAGACCAGCCUGGGCAAUGUAGCAAGACCCUGUCUCUACCAAAAAUACAAAAAAAUUAGCCAGGAGUGGUGACGUUGAUCACAAAAAUAUCUUCUGAACAAUUUAAGUUGUGUAAAGAAUGACAUUCUUCCAGCUUUUCUUGGAGCUAGGGAAAAGGAGCUUUCCAUGUCUAGAACAUAGGGACGAUGAGCACUAUAAAUAUAUCUGCAAAAUUUGGACUGGGUUUAAGGUGAAUAUAAUGAUCAAAAGGUGAAAAAUCCAAAGAUUUUAGGUUUAUCAGCUUCAAAUGGCCCAAAAUACAUAGAGCAUAAUGGAUGAGAUGAAUGGAAAAGAGAAUAAUGGAAAACAGUUUUACUGUUUGUUAAACUUAACUAAAAAGUGAAAUGGGAGACAGAACUUAAGUGCAAGGUUCAUCAUCAGAAGUAGAAGAUCUCUGGAUAACAGGCUAUUAAUAUUAAUCAGUAAACUCUUAACUACAGUACUGAUGAACACCUCCAGAAAACACUUCCUUUAGCCAGUGUAUUAUACGAUGAUGAUGUGCAAUGGCCAUGGCAAAGGGUUUGUAGGUCCUUCUUGCCCAGAUGCAGCCACUUAAGCAGUAAAAUAAUGAAUGGUAUAAAUUCAGCCAUCAAGCCACUGUACACACAUUAACUCAAUAGAAAGAAGCACAUUAGGGUCACCUCAGCAACCAGUAUAUGCAGAAAAUAACAGAAGUGAGAGGUGUGUCCACCCUGCAAUUUCUACAGGACACCUCUCCUUCAGGUUACUUACCACUCAGAUACAAAAUCAGGCCUCACUAUUCUCUCCCUGGCCAAGCUGCUCAACUGACACCAAGUCCCUAAAAUAUAUCUCAGGGUGCCAGACCGCAUGCCUUCCAAAUUAUGUCUGGCACCGUCUACCAGAUGUACCUAGAAAACCAUUCAGGGCUAAGGAUCCAUGAAUCACGUCAAAGAGCAUGGGGCUAACGGAUCACAGACAAUGGCCCACAUGUUACGGGGCCCACAACCACCCUCAACCCUGCUGCUUACACCACAACACACUUCAAAUGUGCUACACAAAUCUGCAAUCCUCAACAACUUAAUGAACAACUUCAAAGUACCAUGUAGCCAUCCGAUGUGCCUGCACUAAGUAAGGCAUUUCACUGUCUGUGUUGGCCUCAGCCUUCCCCCAAGCACAAAAACAGAUGCAGGAUUAACAGUCAACUCCUCUACUCUAACUGAAAUCCCUGCCACACUGUCAGAGACUAAGAAUUCAGAAACUUCUUUGCAGAUCUGUAGUCUCUCUAUUCCAAGGUUAGAGAAGUUGUCACUGUUCCACCAGCCCACCAGGCUAAGGUACUGCUCAGCAAGUACUUAACGGUGCCACUGUUAAAAAAAAAACUGAUCAGGAGCCACAGAAAUAAACUUGUGCCUCAUCAGAGAAAAACAUCUAAAUAUCAAAAAGCCAAAGCACUGUAGAAAAAAAUCUAUAAAAUAAAAAAUAUAUUAAAAAGGCACAUGGGCCAGGCAUAGCGGCACACGCCUAUAGUCCCACUACUCUGGAGGCUGAGGUGGGAGGAUUGCUUGGGCUCAGAGGAUUGAGGCUGUAGUGAGCUGUGAUCGCCCCAUUAUACCCCAGCCUGGACGACAGUUUCAAAAGGCACAUGGAACAUACUGAGCCUUAUGUAUU
rnacentral:lncRNA from 10 species